GUACUCUCUUCGGCAGCACGUGUACUAAAAUUAGAACAAUACAGAGGAGAUUAGCAUGGCCCCUGAGUAAGGAUGACACGCAAAUUCGUGAAACACUCCAUAUUUUU
rnacentral:snRNA from 1 species